UAAAGAAUGAAAAACGUAUUUAAACUUAAUAAAUAAUCAAAUUCCAAAUUAAUACUUUCGGGUACUUACUUCCAAAUUAAAUUAUAAAAGAUUUUUAUAAAAAAACUGUCUAUAGUGUUUCCGGAAGUGUUACCGUGAUAGUGGCUGGCCGCAUAAAUUAAUAUAAAACACUCGUAACGUUAAACAAAAAUAUGUGUAAACAAAAUAUCGCAUCAAGUUACGUAAAUAUAACCGUGGAUCAAUGGAUUUCCUCAUUACUUUACCAGUUUAAAAUGAAAAUGUCAAAUAUUCUGCAAAACUUACAACAGCAAAACGGUGAAACUAAACUGAAUAAUGAUGAAUCUUACACUCGUAAAUCUAAACUACACAUUAAAGGAGGUAAGUUAAUACGGUAAGGUUCUUUCGC